rnacentral:rRNA from 1 species
UACGUAGGGUGCAGGCGUUAAUCGGAAUUACUGGGCGUAAAGCGUGCGCAGGCGGCUCCUUAAGUCAGAUGUGAAAGCCCCGGGCUUAACCCGGGAACUGCGUUUGAAACUGGGGAGCUAGAGUGUGGAAGAGGGGGGUGGAAUUCCAGGUGUAGCAGUGAAAUGCGUAGAGAUCUGGAGGAACACCGAUGGCGAAGGCAGCCCCCUGGGCUAACACUGACGCUCAUGCACGAAAGCGUGGGGAGCAAACAGG